GGGUCAGUAGGUUGGUCGUGCCACCGGUACGUACUGGUCUCACUGAUUCCUCCUUCCUGAAGAACCGUAAUGCCAUUAAUUUGGUGUUGCGGGGAAACAGGACUGUUACUUUGAAAAAAUUAGAGUGUUUAAAGCAAGCUAACGCUUGAAUACAUUAGCAUGGAAUCAUGAAAUAGGACUAUCGAUCCUAUUUUGUUGGUUUCUAGGAUUGACGUA
rnacentral:rRNA from 1 species